GGGCCCAUAGCUCAGUCUGGUUAGAGCAGCUGACUCAUAAUCAGCGGGUCAUAGGUUCGAGUCCUAUUGGGCCCA
rnacentral:tRNA from 1 species